GUCUGCCCUGGCAGCACACAUACUAAAAUUGGAACAAUACAGAGAAGACUAACAUGGUCUUUGUGCAAGGAUGAUAUUCAAAUUCAUGACGUCUUCUGUAUUGUU